AAGUCGUAACAAGGUUUCCGUAGGUGAACCUGCGGAAGGAUCAUUACUGAAGCAUUUGCAAUGGUUUUGUUGCUGCCUUGAAAAAGGAUUGUGCACGCCAUUCAAUCUUCUAUUUACCCACCUGUGCACCUUUUGUAGACUUUUGUGAAUAUACAUCUCACUGUAAAAAUGUGGAAAUGGGAGCGUAGCCUAUAGCUUGUUCUCAAAUCUAUUCACAGUCUAUAUUUUUUAUACACACUAUUUGAUAUAAAUGAAUGUAUUGCUUUAUGGAUUAAUUUCCAUAUAAAUGUAAAUACAACUUUCAGCAACGGAUCUCUUGGCUCUC
rnacentral:misc_RNA from 1 species